AUUGAACGCUGGCGGCAGGCCUAACACAUGCAAGUCGAACGAGUGGCGGACGGGUGAGCAAUGAAUGGGAAUCUAGCUUAUGGAGGGGGAUAACUACGGGAAACUGUAGCUAAUACCGCGUACCAUAGGAUGAGCCCAAGUGGGUUUAGGUAGUUGGUGAGGUAAAGGCUCACCAAGCCGACGAUCUCUAGCUGGUCUGAGAGGAUGACCAGCCACACGGGUACUGAGACAUGGCCCAGACUCCUACGGGAGGUAGCAGUGGGGAAUAUUGCGCAAUGGGGGAAACCUGACGCAGCCAGGCCGGGUGAAUGAAGAAGGCCUUCGGGUUGUAAAGUUCUUUAGGUUGCGAGGCGUUAACUACAGAAUAAGCACCGGCUAACUCCGUGCCAGCAGCCGCGGUAAUUC
rnacentral:rRNA from 1 species